UCAAGUCGUGGGGCAGCAUGGGGUAGCAAUACUCUGAUGGCGACCGGCAAACGGGUGCGGAACACGUACGCAACCUUCCCAAAACUGGUGAAUAGCCCUCCGAAAGGAGGAUUAAUACACCGUAACAUAACGAAGUGGCAUCACUUUGUUAUUAUAGCUCCGGCGGUUUUGGAUGGGCGUGCGCCUGAUUAGGUGGUUGGCGGGGUAACGGCCCACCAAGCCUACGAUCAGUAACUGGUGUGAGAGCACGACCAGUCACACGGGCACUGAGACACGGGCCCGACUCCUACGGGAGGCAGCAGUAAGGAAUAUUGGUCAAUGGACGCAAGUCUGAACCAGCCAUGCCGCGUGAAGGAUGAAGGUCCUCUGGAUUGUAAACUUCUUUUAUCUGGGACGAAAAAAGGGCUUUCUAGCUCACUUGACGGUACCAGAGGAAUAAGCACCGGCUAACUCCAUGCCAGCAGCCGCGGUAAUACGGAGGGUGCGAGCGUUAUCCGGAUUUACUGGGUUUAAAGGGUGCGUAGGUGGGCAGGUAAGUCAGUGGUGAAAUCUUCGAGCUUAACUCGGAAACUGCCAUUGAUACUAUCUGUCUUGAAUGCCCUGGAGGUAAGCGGAAUAUGUCAUGUAGCGGUGAAUGCUUAGAUAUGACAUAGAACACCAAUUGCGAAGGCAGCUUACUACGGGGUGAUUGACACUGAGGCACGAAAGCGUGGGGAUCAAACAGGAUUAGAUACCCUGGUAGUCCACGCCCUAAACGAUGGAUACUCGACAUACGCGAUACACUGUGUGUGUCUGAGCGAAAGCAUUAAGUAUCCCACCUGGGAAGUACGACCGCAAGGUUGAAACUCAAAGGAAUUUGACGGGGGGUCCGCACAAGCGGUGGAGCAUGUGGUUUAAUUUCGAUGAUACGCGAGGAACCUUACCUGGGCUAGAAUGGCGGUUUGAC
rnacentral:rRNA from 1 species